UACGGGGGGGGCAAGCGUUGUUCGGAAUUACUGGGCGUAAAGGGCUCGUAGGCGGCCAACUAAGUCAGACGUGAAAUCCCUCGGCUUAACCGGGGAACUGCGUCUGAUACUGGAUGGCUUGAGUAUGGGAGAGGAACGUAGAAUUCCAGGUGUAGCGGUGAAAUGCGUAGAUAUCUGGAGGAACACCGGUGGCGAAGGCGGCAUCCUGGACCGAUACUGACACUGAGGAGCGAAAGCCAGGGGAGCAAACGGG
rnacentral:rRNA from 1 species